rnacentral:tRNA from 1 species
GGGGCGGCGCCGACGUGGGAGAGUCGGGCUCGGCUGUAAACCGAGUGCGUGUCUGAGCGGGUUCGAAUCCCGCCCGCCCCA